GAUGAAGAACGUAGCGAAAUGCGAUAAGUAAUGUGAAUUGCAGAAUUCAGUGAACCAUCGAAUCUUUGAACGCACAUUGCGCCCGGCAGUAAUCUGCCGGGCAUGCCUGUCCGAGCGUCAUUUCUGCCCUCGAGCGAGUCCAGCAUCUAGGUGCUGGGCCCGCCCGGCGUUGGGGCACUACGGGAAGCCCUGUGCUGUCCCCCGUGGGCCCCGAAAUGAAGUGGCGGUCCUGCCGCGGCGCCCCCUGCGUAGUAUAACAGCUCGCUUCGGGACCCGGUGGAGGCCUGCCGUCAAACCUUACUCUCUAAGUUUGACCUCGGAUCAGGUAGGGUUACCCGCUGAACUUAAGCAUAUCAACAAGCGGACGA
rnacentral:misc_RNA from 1 species